GGGCGAGUAGCUCAGUUGGUUAGAGCGUCUCUCUUACACAGAGAAGGCCGCAGGUUCGAGUCCUGUCUUGCCCAC
rnacentral:tRNA from 1 species